rnacentral:tRNA from 1 species
ACUUGAAUAGCUUAUGUUUAGAGCACGACAUUGAAGAUGUUGUUGAGGUUAAUUGUUGCCUUCAGGUG